CCCAUUCUCCAUACUCGCCUUUACUUCCUCCACCUUUGCAUUCUCUGGCAACCGAAACCUCCUCAUGAACUUCCCACUUGACCGCUCCACACGGUGCCAUGUGUCACUCUUCUCUUCAUUCUCACUGCUCCUCUCACCGCUUAUCUGAAGUAUGUUACCAUCUUCAACCUCCACCUUCACCUCUUCCUUCUUAAGCCCAGGCACGUCCGCCUUGAACACAUGCGCUUCAGGUGUCUCCCUCCAGUCCACUUUAGCGUUUGUGAACGCUGCCACGUCCUUGGCAGGUGCGUUUGUCAACCCGGGCGUCAAGAAUCCUUCGAACGGAUCCCAUACGUCUAGUGAAAAUGGGUCGAACACGUUUGUUCUUCGGCCUCCAAAAAAGCUCGGAACUAGAGACAUCGUUUCGCUUACUCUGUUUGCUCUGUUUUGUUUUGUUUUGCUAGAACUCUCUUC